UACGUAGGGGGCUAGCGUUGUCCGGAAUCAUUGGGCGUAAAGAGCUCGUAGGCGGCUUGUUGCGUCAGCUGUGAAAACCCGCAGCUCAACUGUGGGCUUGCAGCUGAUACGGGCAGGCUUGAGUUCGGUAGGGGAGACUGGAAUUCCUGGUGUAGCGGUGAAAUGCGCAGAUAUCAGGAGGAACACCGGUGGCGAAGGCGGGUCACUGGACCGGUACUGACGCUGAUGCGCGAAAGCGUGGGGAGCAAACGGG
rnacentral:rRNA from 1 species